AUUGAACGCUGGCGGCAUGCUUUACACAUGCAAGUCGAACGGUAACAGGCCUUCGGGUGCUGACGAGUGGCGAACGGGUGAGUAAUGCAUCGGAACGUGCCCAGAGGUGGGGGAUAACGCAGCGAAAGCUGUGCUAAUACCGCAUGUGAUCUGAGGAUGAAAGCGGGGGACCAGGCAGCAAUGUUUGGCCUCGCGCCUUUGGAGCGGCCGAUGUCAGAUUAGGUAGUUGGUGGGGUAAAGGCCGACCAAGCCGACGAUCUGUAGCUGGUCUGAGAGGACGACCAGCAACACUGGGACUGAGACACGGCCCAGACUCCUACGGGAGGCAGCAGUGGGGAAUUUUGGACAAUGGGCGCAAGCCUGAUCCAGCAAUGCCGCGUGCGGGAAGAAGGCCUGCGGGUUGUAAACCGCUUUUGUACGGAACGAAAAGGCUCUGGCUAAUACCUGGGGCUGAUGACGGUACCGUAAGAAUAAGCACCGGCUAACUACGU
rnacentral:rRNA from 1 species